rnacentral:siRNA from 1 species
GAGAAAGAGCACAUUAUGAUUGGG